CAGCAGCCGCGGGAAUACGAAGGGUGCAAGCGUUAAUCGGAAUUACUGGGCGUAAAGCGUGCGUAGGCGGUGAGUUAAGUCUGCUGUGAAAUCCCCGGGCUCAACCUGGGAAUGGCAGUGGAUACUGGCUCGCUAGAGUGUGUCAGAGGAUGGUGGAAUUCCCGGUGUAGCGGUGAAAUGCGUAGAGAUCAGGAGGAACAUCAGUGGCGAAGGCGGCCAUCUGGGACAACACUGACGCUGAGGCACGAAAGCGUGGGGAGCAAACAGGAUUAGAUACCCCGGUAGUCCCUGUCUCUUAUAC
rnacentral:rRNA from 1 species